rnacentral:rRNA from 1 species
UAGAGGAAGUAAAAGUCGUAACAAGGUUUCCGUAGGUGAACCUGCGGAAGGAUCAUUAAAGAAAGUCGCAACGCUGGGCGAACGUCUCCGGACGCGAGCCUUGCGGACUAUCUACCAACCCCUCUGUGCACUCUGCGUGAGCCGGCACGGGACUCACGUCCCGGAAGGCUCGCGUCCUUUUACACAUACACCUAUAAAGUCACCGAAUGUACCCUGCGUUAACCGCAUAAAUACAACUUUCAGCAACGGAUCUCUUGGCUCUCGCAUCGAUGAAGAACGCAGCGAAAUGCGAUAAGUAAUGUGAAUUGCAGAAUUCAGUGAAUCAUCGAAUCUUUGAACGCAACUUGCGCCCCUUGGUAUUCCGAGGGGCACGCCUGUUUGAGUGUCGUGAAUUCCUCCACCUUCAAUCUUUUUUGAAUGGCUGGGAACUGGGGGUUUGCGGGCCCAUUGCCGGUCCGCUCCCCUUGAAUGCAUGAGUGAAGACCCUCGCGUCCUUGGUGUGAUAAUGUCUACGCCUCGGCUCGUCGGGACAAGGCCUUUGCUUCCAACCGUCCGUCCGCGGACAACACAAUCUACACUUGACCUCAGAUCAGGCGGGACUACCCGCUGAACUUAAGCAUAUCAUA